rnacentral:lncRNA from 1 species
GUCGUCGAGGUGUUGCUGUCGCGGUGUUGCUGUCGCGGUGUUUUUGCUGCGGUGUUGCUGUCGCGGUGUUGCUGUCGUCACGGUGUUGCUGUCAAGCUGCUGUCACGGUGUGGCUGUCACGGUGUGGCUGUCACGGUGUGGCUGUCACGGUGUGGCUGUCACGGUGUGGCUGUCACGGUGUUGCUGUCGCGGUGUUGCUGUUGCGGUGUUGCUGUCGUGGUGUUGCUGUCGUGGUGUUGUCACGCUGCGGCUGUCACGCUGCUCCUGUCACGCUGCUGCUGUCACGCUGCUGCUGUCACGCUGGUGCUGUCACGAAGCUUCUGGCACGCCGCUUCUGGCACGCCGCUGCUGGCAUGCUGCUGCUGGCACGCUGCAGCUGUCACAGAGAUUCUGUCAAGCUUUUGUCGCGGUGUUGCAGUCGCGGUGUUGCUGUCGCGGUUUUGCUGUCGUCACGGUGUUGCUGUCAAGCUGUUGUCACGGUGUGGCUGUCACGGUGUGGCUGUCACGGUGUUGCUGUCACGGUUUUGCUGUCACAGUGUGUCACGUCGCUGCUGUCACGGUGUUGCUUUCAAGCUGUGGUCGUCACGCUGUUGCUGUCGCGGUGUUGCUGUCGAAGUUUUGCUGUCGCGGUUUUGCUGUCUCGAUUUUGCUGUGGUCACAGUGUUGCUGUCACGGUGUUGCAGUGACGGUGUUGCUGUCGCGGUGUUGCUGUCGCGGUGUUGCUGUCGCGCUGCUGCAGUCGCGCUGCUGCUGUCGCGCUGCUGCUUUCACUCUGCUGCCGGCACUCUGCUGCUGGCACGCUGCUGCUGGCACGCUGCUGCAGGCAUGCUCUUGUCACAUUGUCGUUGUCACAGAGAUUCCGUCAAGCUGUUGUCGCGGUGUUGCUGUCGCGGUGUUGCUGUCGCGGUGUUGCUGUCGCGUUGUUGCUGUCGCGGUGUUGCUGUCGCGGUGUUGCUGUCGUCACGGUGUUGCUGUCAAGCUUUUGUCACGUUGUUGCUGUCACGGUGUUGCUUUCAAUCUGUGGUCUUCGUGGUGUUGCUGUCGCGGUGUUGCUGUGGCGGUGUUGCUGAUUCGGUGUUGCUGUCGCGCUCUUGUUGUCGUCGCGGUGUUACUGUCAGGCAAUUGUCACGUUGUUGCAGUCACGGUGUUGCAGUCACGGUGUUGCAGUCACGGUGUUGCUGUCACGCUGUUGCUGUCUCGCUUUUGCUGUGGUCACGGUGUUGCAGUCACGGUGUUGCAGUCACGGUGUUGC